CCCAGCGGGCGCCCCCCUCAACAGUCGCGAAGACACCAGGGGCUCCUUCUGCCCCUCCGCGCGGUCUCUCACCCCUUCCUCGACGGCUGCCCUGGCUGCCAAAGCCCGUGAGCGUGCUGGGACCGGCCGGCCUGGAAAGUGUACUUGGGAUGUGAGAGGGAGAAAGUUGCUUCCACUUCACCUAUUCCUGGCCCGGAGAUGGGGGAGGGGCCUCCGGACGUCCUCGAGGCCGCGCUUGCGUUCCAGAAACUCAAAGCCUGGGGCCAGGAUGGCUAGCGGGGUUCCCCAGUGCCUGGGCGAGGCGGGCCAGCCCCAUCCUGCUGCGUCUCGAAAGACAGGGGACAGGAGUAAACGAAAGUGGCUGGCCCUGAGCAGCGUCCAGGGUGGGCCAGCGCUGGACGGGUCCAGAGAGGAGCGCGGCGAGCGGAGCUUCCCUGACAGGAGCAGAUUGGGCAUCUGGUGCUCAGCCUCCACCCGGGACGGGGUGAAGCAGCUUGUGAAAAGCUCAUAUACGUUUAAGCCACAGUGGACCUAGUCGUAAAAGAGGAUUUUAAAGUCUGGCAAACAAAACUGUUCGAUACUUGCAAACAUUUUGGAGAAAAACUUUCCUGGGCUUAAAGCUGAGAAGUCAUUUGAGUUUGACUUCCAACAGGUUUGACCGCCCUUGACUGCAGACAGGAAAUCCUUUGAUGUCCAUGCUAAUGUGGGAGAAAAAGACCCCUAUGUCAUGAUAUGGAAAAGCCACAGUGCUAUUGCUGUUCACAAUGAUAUAGCAACGCUACCUCUGGUCCACUGCUUAGCUGAUUACAGAAAGAAGCCUCUUGCUACCAAUGCUAAGCUGUCUGCACUCAAGGGCAGAAAGCGGUC
rnacentral:lncRNA from 1 species